GAUUGUAGGCUGCAACUCGCCUACAUGAAGUUGGAAUCGCUAGUAAUCGUGAAUCAGAAUGUCGCGGUGAAUACGUUCCCGGGUCUUGUACACACCGCCCGUCACACCACGAGAGUUUACAACACCCGAAGUCAGUGGCCUAACCGCAAGGAGGGAGCUGCCUAAGGUGGGGUAGAUGAUUGGGGUGAAGUCGUAACAAGGUAGC
rnacentral:rRNA from 1 species